UACGUAGGGUGCGAGCGUUGUCCGGAAUUACUGGGCGUAAAGAGCUCGUGGGUGGUUUGUCGCGUUGUCCGUGAAAACUCACAGCUCAACUGUGGGCGUGCGGGCGAUACGGGCAGACUGGAGUACUGCAGGGGAGACUGGAAUUCCUGGUGUAGCGGUGGAAUGCGCAGAUAUCAGGAGGAACACCGAUGGCGAAGGCAGGUCUCUGGGCCAUAACUGACGCUGAGAAGCGAAAGCAUGGGGAGCGAACAGG
rnacentral:rRNA from 1 species